rnacentral:lncRNA from 1 species
CUAGUAAUUUACUAAAACACGUUAAUGGAAAAUUUACACAUUUAAAACACCAUUAAUUUGGUUGGUUUUUGUAAUCUGCGUAUCUGGAAAAAGUGACUGCCGCGGACGUAACAUUUUGGAGGUUCGUCCGGGAUACCACGGCAAUAUUUUAAUGGCGAAAGUGAAAAACAAUGGCUUCAACAACGAAUCUGAGGAAAAGGCCUCAUCAAGAGACGCCAGAAGCGGCGAUAUUGGCAUCGACUUUGCAGGUUGUCAUCGAGGAUGCGCCUGCUGAGAGAGAAAUCGUCACUCAGAGAAAUUGAAUAGUGCAGCUACGACAGCGCUACGAAGAAAUUCAACAAUCUUUCAAGUAACUCUUAGUUCUAUCUUAUUUGAAGAGUGGGUAUUGGCAAUGUAAGAUUCGUUCGGAAAAUAAAACAGCUUUUUCCGUUGGGAACAGGAUUAUGACAGUUUACGGUAAUGCCAUUCGGUCUGUAACGCUUCUAACACUUUCGAAAGAUUAAUGGAAUAGGUUUUACAAAAUUUACAAAAUUUAUUUAGAAAAAUUUGCUUGGUUUAUUUGGACGACGUAAUUAUAUUCAGUAAAAGUUUUGAGGAAAUGAUAAUGAAUUUAAAAAAAGUUUUUCUUCGAUUUUGGGAAGUAAAGGUCAAUCCAAAGAAGUAUAAUUUGUUUUGUAAGGAAGUUAAAUAUUUGGGGCAUGUUCGGCAGAGGGAGUUACCACGGAUCCGGAAAAGAUUACUACUGUGAAGGAUUAGCCAAUUCCACACAAUAAGAAACAAUUGCGGAGUUUUCUCGGAUUUUGCUCUUAUUACCGAAGAUUUGUGAAAAGCUUUUCUACAUUAGCAAAGCCUUUAUAUAAAUUAACGGAAAACCAGAUUAAUUUUUCUUCGGGGGAGGAAUGUCAAAAAGCUUUCGAACAAAUAAAACAAAUAUUAAUAUUCUCUCUGGUGUUUCCGUGUGGAGAAGGGGAAUUUAUUUUAGACACGGAUGCUUCGGAUAUUGGAAUUGCGGUCUUAUCACAGAGGCAAGAUGGAAUGGAAAAGGUGAGGAAGUCCCAGUUGCGCAUAGAAUAAAUCGGACACAGCAGGUUGAAUGGAUCGGACACAGGUCGAAACGGAUACAAUAACGAACGGACACAAGAUGAUUGAAAUCGAACACAGUGAAAAUCAGAUACAAUGGCAAUCGGACACAGUGGCAAUCGGAUACAUUGACAAUCGAACACAGUAACAAUCGGACACAGUGACAAUCGGACAGUAACAUCAACUCUGUUCGAGAUUGGUCUAAUUUCGUCUCUUUCGACUGUAAUCUAAGUCUAUUUUUUCCUCGCCGAAUUUGCUUUUUGCUACAUUUAUGAUUAUACUGAAUUUUUUUACCACUAAAAAAAGUUGGAAAAUUGUUUCUAAAUGACGGUAAUGUUCUUUUUCAUUGAUUGACGCUACUAAUAUGUCAUCGACAUAGCCAAAGCAAGAGUCUAGUCCUCGAAGCGCUACGUCGAUGAAUCUUUGAAAAGAUUGUGCUGCAUUCCUUAAUCCGAAAGACAUUUGAUUAAAUUCAAAAAGCCCGAAGAGUGUUAUUACCAUUUUGUGCCAAUCUUUUAUGCUACCGAAAUUUGAAAAAAAUGCCUUAACCAGGUCAAUUUAAAAAAAAUUCUACAAUUAGCUAGUUGAUACGUAAAGUCUUGAAUGUGUGGUAGCGGAACUUAUUUGGUAUUGUGACACUAUUCAAUUUAUGGAAAUUCCCAUAAGAUCGCCAUCCGCCGUCGCUCUUCCUGACUAAAUGUAAGGGACUCACUCAUUGCGAGGAUGAUGAUUGGCAAAUUCUCUGCUCCAUUGCCUCGAAUUCCUUCUUAGCAACUUUGUAUUUUGGAGGAAGUCUACCGGGCUGUUCGGCAACCGCUGGUCCUUUUGUCACUAUAUGAUGUUUGACGUCAUGAGUUACUUCAUGUGAUGCCGCUGAGUGUGUUAUGUCCACGUACUUCCGCAGAAGUUACAAGCUUCAUUAAUGGUUGCUACUGAUGGUUGCUUAGUAAUCUUUGUAUAGUCUUUUUGUUCGACUUCCAUACAUAUUAUUGUACGUCUGCGACGGUAACUUCUCACGUACUCUUUCAAAACACCGCGCGCACAUACGAUUCGGAGGAAACUAUGCUCGGCAAUGAACAACACUUUUUUUACAAAACACGUAGGCUUUAUUUUAAACAGAGCAACUACAGAAAUUUAAUGGACACAUAUUCGUUCGUCUCGUCACCGCGCAGAACAACUCACAAAAACAACUUCGUUGUCCCGGAGAGCACUUCGCUUUUUCUCCAACUUCACUUGAAGUUAGAAGAUCACUUCGCAAAAGACUCGCCUUGUGAACCCUGAUCAUGCCUCUCUUAUUCAUAAUUAAAGAACGCGGGUUUUGAGUUGAAAUCAUUCACAACUUUUUUGAGUUUGGUCACAAUUUGGUAAUUUGCAAAAACAGCUGAUCUCAGAGAUGCUUUUCAUUAAGAAACAGAAUAAUAAUCUGAAUUCACAGUCUGAUAUUAAAUUCUUACAUUACACAUACGUUUUCGUCUUGAGCAAAUUGUAAUCUCCGUUUUGUUUUGAUGUUGUUGAAUUGUAGAGUCACCGCGCUCAGUUAUUGCCUGGAGUUCAAGGUGUGCAGAAGUGCUAUGAGAUAUACUGCUUGCGAACCGUGCCGCACUCCUGUGCGUGCUUUCCUCGGUUUAAUGUAAACUGUGUUCAUCUGACAAUUGACAACCCCUUAAAGACUUCUUGUUCCUUUAAGAAUGACAUAUAUGUAAGAUCAUAAUAAUUUUAAUUAACAAUUUUAACAUUGGUGAGCGCAUCGAAUGAACGCAGGAUCUUAUCUUUAUUGUUAUGUACAUUGAAGAUGACUCAAACUAUAGUCGAAACGUUUGUAUUAUAUAUUUAAGAUAUAAUAAAGAUAUAAUAAAGAA